GUUGUGUAAUUGAAUUCCAUGAAGAGGCAAAGGCUUUGUGGAUGAUAUCAUGAUAAGGCAAUUGUUUCAAAUAAUAUGCCUAUUUGCGCCAUGUUGGAAGGUAAAAAGAGUCAUGCUACAUAUGGAAAACGCUUUCACGUGAGAAAGCGCCGGUACUUUUUUCAAACAGCACUAGUCAUACUCAUACAUACAACAGGUUAAACAUAGUUUGCAAAAAAGACCCAGAAAGUGCAGUAAAAAAAAUGAGCACCUUCUGAUGGCAUUCCAGUUCAUGAAAUUUCUGCCACACGUCAAAGUUGGUGCUCCUGGGUUUGGUUCUUCUGGUUUACACUAUCCAGAUACUGCUUCACACAAGUUUGAUUUGUCUCAAAUAUGAAUGGCAUACCCCUUAUCUCAAUCAAACAACUGGAAGCAAGGUUUAGACUCUGUCCAGGGGCUAUUUCCUUGUCAUUUACUGAGAUAGAACAUUUGCCAAGAUUUUUCAGAUGGAAAGAUCCACCUUUGUCCAAAUUUAUAGUUGCCUGCCGACGAGAUAUCUUAUUUGCUCCCCCUUCCCUCCCCAACUCAAUGUCAACAAUUACAUCUUCUGUUGCUCUACCAAGCAAAACCUCAGGUUUCUUAAUAUAAUGCUUUGAAUGGCGGCCAUAUAAAACAGCAAAUGCUCCUUGAGAUGCAAUGGCUCUUUGCAUACAAGACUGAGCACCCUGCUCCAGCCUCAUAAUCACCCUCUUCAUGUCCUCAUGCUGAUAUCUUGAGACUUCCUCGCUGGAAUAUAAAUCCUGGUCUUCCGGAUCCAAAUCCAUAUCAAGUAUCAUUGCUUCAAUAUCUGAAAAAUAUGGCACAUCAUCAUCACUUUCUAUAGGUGGUUCUUCUAGAUCUGAUAAUGGAUGGUUUGCUCCAUGUUCCAGGGGCGUAAUAUCUGUAAACCCCAAUUUAGCAUGUGAUGCCUGAUGAGUUUGAAUUCUUGUUGGGGCAUCUAGCUCCUGUUUGAUAUCACUUGCGUUUGUAUGGGAAUAACACAUAUAACCAUCAGGAGCAACAGCUGGCUUUUCCAUUGAAGAAUCAGCAGUGUUAUGACUAAAGUGCUUCACCGGAACAACUUCAGGAGCUUCUUCCUUCAGUUUAGCAGGUACAAGAGUUUCUGCACUAGCAUUUGCUGAAUAAGCAAUGCUCACAUUCUUGUGAAUAGAGCUACUACUAGGCAAGUCAAACUUAACCCUACGAUCACCAACUGGAUGAAGAGAGCUGAUUUCUGGCACUACCUGUGAUCUUAUCAUCUGAGAAGAUGCAUGAGAUUGAUCAGGAUUUUCUAGAUCUCUCUGAAUCAGUACUGGAUCUCCUUCACUAUUUUUUGGAUUGCUUGAGAAAUCCUCAACGGCUGAAGGAUUUGGUUUACAAACAUCAUGAAAAUUCUGUCGUUCCAUAAAAGAAAAUGAUUUCGGACGUGAGUGAUUGAUGAAGACAACAUCAUCAUUGCAUGGGAUCUCUGGAUCCUCACUGUUUAAUGUGCAGAUAAUAACUCCAUCACCCAGUUCAGAAAAAUGAGGGUUUGAACUUGAUGCAGAUGUGUGAAACUGCACAUCUGAAUCUCCAACAGUAUCACCACUUUGGUGAGACCCCCUAUCUUCAUUCAAUUCUCCCUGAAUUCCACCAGACUUAUUUAUAUGAUAUUCUGGAGCUACAGAAGAUUCUGGUUCAGUUAUAUUUGCCAUGUGAUCUUGAUUGGCAUCAUUUGGUGAACUUAGCAAAAGUGAACUUAGACCAUCAUAGUAAGACUUGUCAAUCGCAUCUUUUCCAUCAACAUCUGUGAAUAGAAGUUCUUCCUCAUUUGUGAAAUUCAAAAGGGAAUUGGAAAGUUCAGCCAGAUAACCUUCCGUGCUGGCAGCUACAUUUUUCAUUUCCUCACUUGGUAUCUCCAGUUUUAAGUUGGAGCCAUAUUCUGACAGACAUGCAUUCUUCGUAUCGUUGUCACCAGGAAGUGAAAAUGGGUCUCCUGUGUGCAUAUUAACUGGAAUACUUGGUGAUGAAACACCCUCAACUGUCCUCCAUAUUGGCAUCUCAGGAAGAGGAGAUGAGUAAUCCAAGUUAUGAAAUGACAUAGCACACUCUGGAAUUGGAGAACUAAAUGUUUGGUCUCCACCAAACUUAGAGCAUUCCUGCACCUGGUCACUGUUCGCUGCCAAUUCUUUUGGUCCACCAAAUUCCUCAAUCACAGAUCCAUUUCUAGAGUGAGACAUAUUUUCUCCAUGUAUAUGUGGAGUCUCUUUAUGUACGUUAUCUUGCUCCAUUGGAUAACCCUCCAGGACUGUUUUCUGGAAUUGUGCAUGAAAGGCAUGGGCAGCAUUAUCAUCCCCAAUUUGCGGAAAAGGAUGAUGCAUGAUAUCCAAAUUAGAUUCCUGAAGUUGAAAAUGAUUUGAAACUGGAUCUCCAAGUAUACAAUGCCCAGAGAAAAGAUCAUCUUCAUUUCCCAUGUAAUUGUUAUCAGUGGGUGCAGUGAGAAAACCUAGAUCCAUGGUGUUAAAUGGUUCAUUGCGAAUUCUUUUACGUAAUGCAUAGUAACAACUAUGAACACUCUCAGCUUUCCUUUUCCCAGAAAGACAUUUGUUUUCUUUUGUAUUCCCGGCUCUACUGAAUUUUGAUGGAAAAGUUGAUUCAGAACGCUCAAACUCAAUCAUGUGAAAAGCAGCCUCAGCAGAAACAAUUGGAUCGUAAAGGAGAGAAUGCCACCGUUCUUGUAUUUCUCGAACAGUGAAUUUUCGAGAAAAAUUCACUGCACCUUUAGCCAAUGAUUCCAAGGAAGCACCAGCCUCCACAGCAUUCUUUAACAAAAGAUCAUCCUCUGGCAUCCAAGGAGAGACAGGAGCUAAAGCUCCCAUGACUAGAAACCCAACAAACCUCAGUCUCUCUAGUUUCCCUCUGUAGACUCUGAGAAGUGUGAUUGUUUUCCGUCUGAAGCAAAGUGGGGUUUAAGAGGAAAAUAAUAUUGAGAAAGAGAAGCCCUUUGGAGCGAAACGUGGACAAGGAAGAAGUCGAUGGCGUCUCAGGCGAGCAGGUGAGGUGAGGUGACCGGUGAUUUCAUGGAUCGUUGUCGUGAUUUUCUCAGGUGACAGGAAGUGCGAAACUUUGCUUGCUAGGUGUCCCAGGGCGGUGCGCUGGGUGCGACCUUCCACUGAAUAGUUCAUACCCGAAAUAACUAAUCUUUUUUCUUUGUAGUGAAUUUGGA
rnacentral:misc_RNA from 1 species